CGGGUGAGUAACGCGUGAGGAACCUGCCUCAAAGAGGGGGACAACAGUUGGAAACGACUGCUAAUACCGCAUAAGCCCACGGCUCGGCAUCGAGCAGAGGGAAAAGGAGUGGUCCGCUUUGAGAUGGCCUCGCGUCCGAUUAGCUAGUUGGUGAGGUAAUGGCCCACCAAGGCGACGAUCGGUAGCCGGACUGAGAGGUUGAACGGCCACAUUGGGACUGAGACACGGCCCAG
rnacentral:rRNA from 1 species